rnacentral:sRNA from 1 species
CUUUGUGGAUGAUCUUCUCCAGUUGGAGGUCAUUCUGGAUCACUAUCCGGGCAACUCAGGGAUCUAAGGGAAAAGAAAAAGAGUCACUCAAGUCUUCUUUCUCUGUAUUCCAUUCGCCAGGCACGCACAAGCACAGCGUGGAUUUAAGAGAGGAGACAAGCCAAGGAGCAGUUGUGCACGCACAUAGCCCGGUGCACCUAUUCAGCACCAUUGAGGUAGACUAGCCCUGCAAAGACUGGGGUCCCCAAGAAUGCAUGGUAUUGCUCAAAUUGAUUGCAUUAACGAUUGUCUGAUCAAGCCAAUCCUGGCAAACUGAACUGCCAAAGAACCAGAGCGCUUUAUUAUAGAAGGUCCAUGGUUUUAUAAGGGAAAGACAAGCCAUACCAGAGAGCAUGAAAUAUGGACCCGGGGUAGUUAUUCGAUUCUGAAAAUCCUCUGCUAAGGUGGAGGCUUGGUGUCCGAGGAGCACCGCUGACAACCUGAGUCCCUUAUCCGUGUGUGCUAAGGACAGUAAUAUAUCCUUGCCAUCCACCUCUCUUUCUCUGGGCUCAGCCCCACAGUUUUCUUCAGUUAGAAUGUGGUAUUAUAAAGUUACAGGUCCCCAUCAAUCGUCUUCACAGUAUUUUGUUAUCUUUAGGUCUAGUGUAUUAGAUUUCAUUUGAUUCAAAAUUCAGUUCAAACAGCUUUAAGGAAUAAGAAAAUGAGAAAGGAAAUUAGUUGGCUCAAAUAGCUUUGAAGGCCAGGAAAAGUAUACCAUUCAAGUGUGACUUGAUCUGGGGACUGAGGACAUUCUAAGAUCUAGUCUCAUCCAUGGUGACCACGUCAUCAGAAGCCAUAUUGAAUCAAAGCAGAUGUUAACUUCUACAGGGUUUAAGACCAGCAAGAAAAUGAGAGUUUGUCGUCUUGGGCCUGACUUCAUUUCUAUUUCUGAACUAAAUACCAUCUUCAGGAGAAUCUCUUACCCUGACCAGAAAGAAAUCACAUUCCAUCCCCAUACCCCCAUGUAAUUGGGCUGGAUUCAGAAGAAAUGGAGAGAAUUGGGGUGAGAGGUGAGAUGAUGCUGUUGGGAAAGAGAAACAGAAGCAGAAUGGCAGGAAGCCACAGAAACCUAAAGUUUAUUCUCUCUCCAGUCUCCUACAUUCAGAGGCCCCUGCUAGCCUCUUCUCUUCUCAACGUGUCUGAUUUGUCCCGGUUUCAAUCCUGCCGGGUAGAAUUGAGAGAUGUCUGGAAGUCUUCUAAACCAGAAAACAGGUCUUCUGCUCUGAGCUCAACAUGCUCCCUGAAGACUCACCUCAGAGGAUCAACAAGAACCGGACGAGGCAGCAGAAGCAAGACAAAGGACACUUGGUGGUAGGAAUAUAGAGAGACGAGAGCUACUCGGCCAUGCUGAGCGAUGCACCGUGACCAGCUGUCUCAAGCCCCCGAUGCAGCAACUUCCCUACAAUAACCGAUGGUAACCCGGAACUGGGAGUGGAACUAUUUUCUCAACAGCAGGAGAAACUAAGCACAGGGAACAAGUCCCAGGAGGGCGAGCAGCACCCCUGACCAUCACCAGAGGAAAUUCAAACAAAGCGUUUUCAUUUCCUAUCCGUUUGUUCGGAAGAUCAGUUUUUCCUCUUCAAGUUAAUACUGUUUCCUUUACUAAAGUAAGAUUCUUAUUGUGUAAAAAUUAACCACUUCAGAACAUAUAAUUCAGUAGCGUUCAGUGCACUUGCAAUACUGUAAACCCACCUCUCUCCGGUUAUAAAGUAUUUUCAUCCCA